CCUACGGGAGGCAGCAGUGGGGAAUAUUGCACAAUGGGCGCAAGCCUGAUGCAGCAACGCCGCGUGAGGGACGACGGCCUUCGGGUUGUAAACCUCUUUUAGUAGGGAAGAAGCGAAAGUGACGGUACCUGCAGAAAAAGCACCGGCUAACUACGUGCCAGCAGCCGCGGUAAUACGUAGGGUGCAAGCGUUAUCCGGAAUUAUUGGGCGUAAAGAGCUCGUAGGCGGUUUGUCGCGUCUGCUGUGAAAACUGGAGGCUCAACCUCCAGCCUGCAGUGGGUACGGGCAAACUAGAGUGCGGUAGGGGAGAUUGGAAUUCCUGGUGUAGCGGUGGAAUGCGCAGAUAUCAGGAGGAACACCGAUGGCGAAGGCAGAUCUCUGGGCCGUAACUGACGCUGAGGAGCGAAAGCAUGGGGAGCGAACAGGAUUAGAUACCCUGGUAGUCCAUGCCGUAAACGUUGGGCGCUAGAUGUGGGGACCAUUCCACGGUUUCCGUGUCGCNGCUACGCAUAGCGCCCGCCCGGCGGACGGCGGCCGACGACGAACGUAACAACAAGAGUAGUAGACGUCGAGAGACGCGACGACGACGACGACGGAGGGAGGAG
rnacentral:rRNA from 1 species